rnacentral:rRNA from 1 species
GCUUGUCUCAAAGAUUAAGCCAUGCAUGUCUAAGUAUAAAUGGUAUACAGUGAAACUGCGAAUGGCUCAUUAAAACAGUUAUAGUUUAUUUGGUAUUCGAAUUUACAUGGAUAACCGUGGUAAUUCUAGAGCUAAUACAUGCGUCAAAACCCGACUCCUGGGAGGGUUGUAUUUAUUAGAUGGAAACCAAUGCGGGGCAACCCGGUAUAUGGUGAUUCAUAAUAACUUUCGGAUCGAUCUUCGGAUCGAUGCAUCAUUCAAGUUUCUGCCCUAUCAGCUUUGGAUGGUAGGGUAUUGGCCUACCAUGGCUUUAACGGGUAACGGAGAAUUAGGGUUCGAUUCCGGAGAGGGAGCCUGAGAAAUGGCUACCACAUCCAAGGAAGGCAGCAGG